AAUGAAAAUCAACAAAAACAGACACAAUUUCAUGCUCCAAUUCACACCAUCAAUGCAUACAUCCACUUCAAAAAUUCAUAUCUCAUUGGAAACUAAAAAGAAAUGGAUGAGACCAAAACAGGGAGGUCCUAACAUGUGUCUAGUUCAUGCAUAUCAAAUUUCAUGGCCAUACAAUACAAUAUGAGGAUUUCCCAAUCAAUCUACCAACCUAUGUCACAUGGACUUGCAAAUUUAAUC
rnacentral:lncRNA from 1 species